CGGGCCGCGCCUGAACCUAGUGAAGGCGCGGCCAGUGCCGGACGGGUGAGUAACGCGUGGGCAACCUGCCGCGCACAGGGGGACAACGGCCGGAAACGGCCGCUAAUACCGCAUAUUCCCGGGGGGCCGCAUGGCCCUGCGGGGAAAGCCCGGGGCGACCCGGACGGUGCGCGAUGGGCCCGCGUCCGAUUAGCUAGUUGGCGGGGCAGCGGCCCACCAAGGCGACGAUCGGUAGCCGGCCUGAGAGGGCGGACGGCCACACUGGGACUGAGACACGGCCCAGACUCCUGCGGGAGGCAGCAGUGGGGAAUAUUGCACAAUGGGGGGAACCCUGAUGCAGCGACGCCGCGUGGGUGAAGGAGCACCUCGGUGCGUAAAGCCCUAUCGGCAGGGAAGAAACAGACGGUACCUGACUAAGAAGCCCCGGCUAACUACGUGCCAGCAGCCGCGGUAAUACGUAGGGGGCAAGCGUUAUCCGGAUUCACUGGGUGUAAAGGGAGCGUAGACGGCGACGCAAGUCUGGAGUGAAAGCCCGGGGCCCAACCCCGGGACUGCUCUGGAAACUGCGGCGCUGGAGUACGGGAGGGGCAGGCGGAAUUCCUGGUGUAGCGGUGAAAUGCGUAGAUAUCAGGAGGAACACCGGCGGCGAAGGCGGCCUGCUGGA
rnacentral:rRNA from 1 species